rnacentral:sRNA from 1 species
GAGAACCUCCGGGGGCUGGGAGGUUCGACUCGAGCGAAGCGAGAGAACGUUGCGCCAGCAACGGCCCGCAGGGCGAGCCACGAAGUGGCGAGUAAUCCUCUAUCACCGACCA